rnacentral:rRNA from 1 species
ACUCCUACGGGAGGCAGCAGUGGGGAAUAUUGCACAAUGGGGGAAACCCUGAUGCAGCCAUGCCGCGUGUGUGAAGAAGGCCUUCGGGUUGUAAAGCACUUUCAGCGACGAGGAAGGAGUGUGUGUUAAUAGCGCACAUUAUUGACGUUAGUCGCAGAAGAAGCACCGGCUAACUCCGUGCCAGCAGCCGCGGUAAUACGGAGGGUGCAAGCGCUAAUCGGAAUUACUGGGCGUAAAGCGUACGUAGGCGGCGUGUUAAGCAAGAUGUGAAAGCCCCGGGCUCAACCUGGGAAUUGCAUUUUGAACUGGCAUGCUAGAGUCCUGAAGAGGGUGGUAGAAUUUCCAGUGUAGCGGUGAAAUGCGUAGAUAUUGGAAGGAAUACCAGUGGCGAAGGCGGCCACCUGGUCAGAGACUGACGCUGAGGUACGAAAGCGUGGGGAGCAAACAGGAUUAGAUACCCUGGUAGUCCACGCCGUAAACGAUGUCAACUAGUUGUUCGUGUCAUUAAGACGUGAGUAACGCAGCUAACGCACUAAGUUGACCGCCUGGGGAGUACGGCCGCAAGGUUAAAACUCAAAGGAAUUGACGG